CGAUUAACGACCCAGAGGAGGUUGUAUUCGGAGUUCGGCCCUUGCUGUGGAUAUCGACCAUACCUGAAGUUUACUGUGAACUCCAUAGGUAACAAUUUUUUCCAUCUAAAGCAACAGGUACUGCAGGUGUGGACAGCAUGAACAAUCCGUGAUUAACACAUUUAACUUAGAGAAAAGCCAGAUUGUCGCUUUAUUAAACACAAGGUACAGAAUACCAAGUUACAGAAGUAAGAGGCCUCCACAGAGUUGAAGUUAACAAGUUACAAAAUGCCAAGUUACAGAAGCCAGAAACCGCCACAGAUGUUAAAGUUAACCUCUUAAGGAAAGAUACCAGAGUUACAAAAUAUUAAGUUACAGAAGGCAGAGACCGCUGCAGAUGUUGAAGUUAACCUCUUGAGGAAAAGUUGAAGUUAACCUCUUGAGGAAAAGAUACCCAAGUUAGAAAAUGCCAAGUUACAGAAGCCAACUGCUACAGAUGUUAGUUAACCUCUGAAGGAAAAGAUACCCAAGUUAGAAAAUGCCAAGUUACAGAAGCCAGAGACCGCCACAGAUGUUUAAAAGUUAACCUCUUGAGGAAAAGAUACACAAGUUAGAAAAUGCCAAGUUACAGAAGCCAACUGCUACAAAUGCUAGUUAACCUCUGAAGGAAAAGAUACCCAAGUUUCAAAAUGCUAAGUUACAGAGGGCAGAGGCCGCCACAGAUGUUAAAGUUAAACUCUUGACGAAAAAAUACACAAGUUAUUGAAGCCAGAGACCGCUACAGAUGUUAAAUUUACCUCCAAGGAAAAUAUACUUGUGUAAUGAGGCUAAAUGCUUCCCAGUCAGUGUCUUUUUAAGACUGCGAAGCACACUGCACGCAGGUUUAGCUGCACUUUCUCAGAUUGCUUAUUUUGAAUGCGUAAUCGGUAUAAAUGCGUAGGACAGUUUUCUUUCUCUUAAUAUUCAAUCUGUAGAAUUUUCAGUCCAUUAAGUCUGUUGAUUUUUAAUAAAGCAUUAAUUUAUC